rnacentral:ncRNA from 1 species
GGGCGACCACGAAACUGAAGGAAGUCUAAAGCAAAUUUUUGGACUGAGGUACACGAAUCACAUUUGAGGCUGACUAUAACUGGAUGAGUUUUUAACACAAAAUAAAGACCUUAUUGUGUGUACGUUGUUACAGUAAAUGUGAUGGAUAUAUAAAAUAAAAGAUU